CCUUUCGUCUCCCUUUUCUCUUCUAAAAACCCUCACCCACGCCUCCUAUUAUCUCCACAUCUGCCGCCUCUCCACACUGCUCUCUAUCUAUGCCGAUCGUUGCAACACGUUCUCAUCAUCAUAAACGCCGACGGUCGUCAUCAUCACAUAGUCCACCACUCUCUACAGUAGUUCAACGGGGAUGCAACUCUCCACGACACAAAUCUCAUGGACCCAAGGCCACCCAAACGCACAACCAUUCCUGAUGCUGGCCACACAGAUGCACGGCGACGCAAGAAGAUCGAGAGAGGAUUCUUGUUGCUCUGCAUCAACAAUGUUUAACAGGCUUUUUGGUAAACUUGAACAAGAAGCCAAUGCUUUGGCUACGUUAGAGAAGCUAAGCGAGACACUUGAAAUGGUGGAGAAGAAAGAGAAUGAUCUUGUGAAGAAGGCCGUAGCUGCAGAGGUCGAAGAAGGCAGAUCUUGUGAGUGUAGUAGCGGUAAAUGGGAUCAUACAUACAUUCAUAUGUCAUGGCUGAUUGUGUGCAUCAUCCAAAGAAAUCUUCCUCUUAAGUGUGAAAAAUUUUAUACUGAUGUGAUACAGUAGAUUGGGAACAACCUGUCAUCUUUUUUAAAUUUUCAUUCACGUUCACCCCUCGGUAAGUGUAGGUAAGGUUGUGGCUUCAAGAAUUAUUUCGUGAAACUUACUAUGAAGCUUCAUGAAGUAUUUAACACUCAAAAAGACGUAAUUAUUAAGAGUCAUAAGAUAAUUUAAUGUUUUAGAGUCCUAUAGGUAGUGAUUUUAUUUAUCUUUGUAAACUGAGAGUAGUCUGUGGAGAGACAUGAAUAGUCAUACUACUUUAUAAUAUUGUUGUAAAUUAUGUACACAUGACUUACCAUUGAAGAAUGAAAUUAUUGUUGCUUGA